rnacentral:rRNA from 1 species
UACGGGGGGGCAAGCGUUGUUCGGAAUUACUGGGCGUAAAGGGCUCGUAGGCGGCCAACUAAGUCGGAUGUGAAAUCCCCAGGCUUAACCUGGGAACUGCAUCCGAUACUGGAUGGCUUGAAUCCGGGAGAGGGAUGCGGAAUUCCAGGUGUAGCGGUGAAAUGCGUAGAUAUCUGGAGGAACACCGGUGGCGAAGGCGGCAUCCUGGACCGGCAUUGACGCUGAGACCCGAAAGCAUGGGGAUCAAACAGGA